rnacentral:tRNA from 1 species
GGGGUUGUGGCUCAGCAGUAGAGCAUGUGCCUAGCAUGUGCAAGGCCCUGGGUUCAAUCCUCAGCACCA